GGGUGUGUCCACUCAACCGUGUCAAACUUCCGUUUAGCGUUUAAAUGGUCUUUGUUAUGGGAGGAUUCCAGGCUCCCCGUCCUCUUGUUUGAAAACUAAAGAACAAAAUGUAUGACAGGUACGUUAGUUUCCUCGUCUAAGUCUAUAUUCCAUCCCUGUAGCGUCGCUUGUGGUUCAGAGACAGAGGCUGUGUUCCAUGUUGUUAGCUGACUGUCUCACCGUCCCCCUCCUCGAAGCAGCAGUCCGUCCUCUUUGUGCCAGCGAUGCACCCAGUGUGCAGAAACCAACACACGGCUUGUGUCUUUAAUGUGCAUGGAUGCAUUUGUCAGUACGAUGAUUGAUCAUUUAUGUAAAUAAGUCAACAGUUGAGAUGGAAGAAAACCAGUUUACUUCAUUGACGGUUCCCUCGGAUUAUUUUCAGCAAUGGUACCAGUCCAGCCAGCAGCACCCUGAGGCGCAGCAUGGGCUGCCCUAUCACACCAUGGGCUACUACACAGAAGGCCCCAGAGAUGAGCCCGUCAUGGCCGAGCUGUCUGUGCACCGCGAGCAGCCUCAUUACCAGGAACCUGUGUAUCACAACUUCUACCCCCCGGUUCAGAAUCACUACCAGGAGCAGGCCUACCAGCAGAAUGUCAGGGAGCAGCAACAGCAGCAGCAGCAGCAGCAGCAGCAUCCUGCACAGCUGCACCAUCCUCAGCAACAGUAUAUAACACAGCAGCGCGAGCCAAAUAAUCAGCACCAACCUCAGUCUGCUGCUACACCUCAAGCUGUCACGCCCGUGAAGAAGAAGAGAGGCCGGCCUCCGAAGCAGCAGUCGGAGGAAGGAAAGACUCAGGAGGAGGAAGACGAGGUGGAAGCGGCAAAGAAAGCCAAGAGGGUGCUCAACCGCUUCAACGGCAUGUCAGUGGCGGAGGUCAUGGCGAAAACCCUGCCGGACGUCAUCACCUACAACCUGGACAUCCUCAUCAUUGGAAUCAACCCAGGACUAUUGUCAGCCUACAAAGGACACCAUUACCCAAACCCAGGAAACCACUUCUGGAAAUGUCUGUUCCUGUCCGGGUUCACUGACGAGCAGCUGAACUACAUGCAUGACCAGAGUCUGCCGGAGAACUACAGCAUCGGCUUCACCAACAUGGUGGAGAGGACCACGCCUGGCAGCAAGGACCUCUCCAGUAAGGAGAUUCGUGAAGGAGGGAAACAGUUACUGGAAAAACUGCAGAAAUACAAGCCAUUAAUAGCAGCGUUUAAUGGAAAAGGUAUUUAUGAAAUCUUCUGUAAGGAAACGUUCGGCGUGAAGGCGAAGAAUCUGGAGUUUGGUCUGCAGCCCUACAGAAUCCCUGAGACUGAAACAGUGUGCUACUUGAUGCCAUCAUCAAGCCCGCGCUGUGCCCAGUUUCCUCGUGCACAAGAUAAAGUCCAUUUCUACAUCAAGCUGAAGGAGCUGAGAGACGAAAUGAAAGGCCUCGCUCCCGGCCAUGAUGUGGAGGAGACAAAGUACUCGUUCGAUCUACUGCUAGCCAAAGAGGAUGCAAAGAGGAUGGCAAUCAAAGAAGAACAGGUGGAUCCAGAGUAUGAGAGCUGUGGUCAGCUGCACAAUGAUGCAAGUCAAAGCAGCAACUCCUUCGACUAAAAGAGAAGCAGAGGAGGUGAAAAAAGAAGCCUGUCCACUGAAACACACAGAAAUGGACGUAGCACACACCGUGACAUGGAACCCUGGCAGCUGGAUGUCUUUGCUCCAGAGAUAUCAGAAAUCACCUGCAACAAUAAAAACGCAUCAGUGAGGGUAACAAAUCCUCUGAUGACACCACAGAAGAAGAAGAAGAAGAAGAAGAAGAGGGGUCACAGUUUCCUGAAGCACCGCGAUGUGACGCACAAGCGAGAUCGUCCCCACAUCAGUUCCAUUUUCUAACUCUCAAACAGACUGUGCUUGUGUUUUGGUGUUAUUUUCUAUGAUUAUUUAUUGCAUUUUGUAUGGCAUGUGUGUCCAGUGAGUUAUUUUUGUAUUUUUUAAAGAAUGAUUUUAUGAUUUAUCAGUUAAACAAAAAAAAGUAAUUGUACUCUGGAAUUUCUAAUUUGUAAUUACAGAGUUAUUAAAUCUCUUCUUAAACUGGCA